rnacentral:rRNA from 1 species
UACGGGGGGAGCAAGCGUUGUUCGGAUUUACUGGGCGUAAAGGGCGCGUAGGCGGCCAGCACAAGUCAGUUGUGAAAUCUCCGAGCUUAACUCGGAAAGGUCAACUGAUACUGUGCGGCUAGAGUGCGGAAGGGGCAACUGGAAUUCUCGGUGUAGCGGUGAAAUGCGUAGAGAUGGGGGAGAACACUCGUGGCGAAGGCGGCCAGCUAGACCAGUUCUGACACUGAGGCGCGACAGCGUGGGGAGCAAACAGG